UGGGGGAUAUUGCACAAUGGGCGAAAGCCUGAUGCAGCGACGCCGCGUGGGGGAUGAAGGCCUUCGGGUUGUAAACUUCUUUUGCUCUGAACAAGGCGCACCAUGGGGUGUGUUGAGUGUAGGGGUUGAUUAGCGCCGGCUAACUACGUGCCAGCAGCCGCGGUAAUACGUAGGGCGCGAGCGUUGUCCGGAAUUAUUGGGCGUAAAGGGCUUGUAGGUGGCUGGUUGCGUCUGUCGUGAAAGCUCAUGGCUUAACUGUGGGUUUGCGGUGGGUACGGGCUGGCUUGAGUGCAGUAGGGGAGGCUGGAAUUCCUGGUGUAGCGGUGGAAUGCGCAGAUAUCAGGAGGAAUACCGGUGGCGAAGGCGGGUCUCUGGCUGUUACUGACACUGAGGAGCGAAAGCAUGGGGAGCGAACAGG
rnacentral:rRNA from 1 species